GAUGAACGCUGGCGGCGUGCCUAAUACAUGCAAGUCGAGCGAACGGACGAGGAGCUUGCUCCUCUGACGUUAGCGGCGGACGGGUGAGUAACACGUGGAUAACCUACCUAUAAGACUGGGAUAACUUCGGGAAACCGGAGCUAAUACCGGAUAAUAUUUUGAACCGCAUGGUUCAAUAGUGAAAGACGGUUUUGCUGUCACUUAUAGAUGGAUCCGCGCUGCAUUAGCUAGUUGGUAAGGUAACGGCUUACCAAGGCAACGAUGCAUAGCCGACCUGAGAGGGUGAUCGGCCACACUGGAACUGAGACACGGUCCAGACUCCUACGGGAGGCAGCAGUAGGGAAUCUUCCGCAAUGGGCGAAAGCCUGACGGAGCAACGCCGCGUGAGUGAUGAAGGUCUUCGGAUCGUAAAACUCUGUUAUUAGGGAAGAACAUAUGUGUAAGUAACUAUGCACGUCUUGACGGUACCUAAUCAGAAAGCCACGGCUAACUACGUG
rnacentral:rRNA from 1 species